rnacentral:rRNA from 1 species
UACGUAAAGGGCUAGCGUUGUCCGGAAUCAUUGGGCGUAAAGAGCGUGUAGGCGGCCCGGUAAGUCCGCUGUGAAAGUCGAGGGCUCAACCCUCGAAUGCCGGUGGAUACUGUCGGGCUCGAGUACGGAAGAGGCGAGUGGAAUUCCUGGUGUAGCGGUGAAAUGCGCAGAUAUCAGGAAGAACACCAAUGGCGAAAGCAGCUUUCUGGGACGGUACUGACGCUGAGACGCGAAAGCGUGGGGAGCGAACAGG